GACGAACGCUGGCGGCGUGCUUAACACAUGCAAGUCGAACGGAAAGGCCCUGCUUUUGUGGGGUGCUCGAGUGGCGAACGGGUGAGUAACACGUGAGUAACCUGCCCUUGACUUUGGGAUAACUUCAGGAAACUGGGGCUAAUACCGGAUAGGAGCUCCUGCUGCAUGGUGGGGGUUGGAAAGUUUCGGCGGCUGGGGCUGGACUCGCGGCUUAUCAGCUUGUUGGUUGGGUAGUGGCUUACCAAGGCUUUGACGGGUAGCCGGCCUGAGAGGGUGGCCGGCCACAUUGGGCCUGAGGUACGGCCCAGACUCCUACGGGGGGCAGCAGUGGGGAAUAUUGCACAGUGGGAGGGAGCCUGAGGCAGCAGCGCCGCGUGCGUGAUGCCGGCCUUCGGGUUGUAAACCGCUUUCGCCUGUGACGAAGCGUGAGUGACGGUAAUGGGUAAAGAAGCACCGGCUAACUACGUG
rnacentral:rRNA from 1 species